rnacentral:piRNA from 1 species
UGUAACUACAGCUUCAGGAGAUCCAACACCC